CAGUAGCCGCGGGAAUACGUAGGUGGCAAGCGUUGUCCGGAUUUAUUGGGCGUAAAGCGAGCGCAGGCGGUCAAUUAAGUCUGAUGUGAAAGCCCCCGGCUCAACCGGGGAGGGUCAUUGGAAACUGGGAAACUUGAGUGCAGAAGAGGAGAGUGGAAUUCCACGUGUAGCGGUGAAAUGCGUAGAGAUGUGGAGGAACACCAGUGGCGAAGGCGACUCUCUGGUCUGUAACUGACGCUGAGGAGCGAAAGCGUGGGGAGCGAACAGGAUUAGAUACCCCUGUAGUCCCUGUCUCUUAUAC
rnacentral:rRNA from 1 species